UUGGUCCUAUGGUGGAAGCGCGCUUCUAGAGCGUAUGAUCUGCCAGCUCAAUUAAUGAGCUCAGAUCUAACGCUCCUAGUUUUUUUGAAUCUCCUAUUUUCUGAUUUAAUUUCUUUAAUUUCCAUUAUUUUCAAAAAUCAAUAUCUUCUUCAUUUUAAAUCCAAAAAAUAUGGGACCAAUUGCAUUCUUCUCCAAAUAAUCUCUAGUUUCUAAUUUUGAUUUUUAAUAUUACUUAUUUUAUCAUUUGAUGUUUUUU
rnacentral:lncRNA from 1 species